rnacentral:rRNA from 1 species
GGUAUGGGAUGAGCUUGCGUCCGAUUAGCUAGUUGGCGGGGCAACGGCCCACCAAGGCGACGAUCGGUAGCCGGCCUGAGAGGGUGAUCGGCCACAUUGGGACUGAGAUACGGCCCAGACUCCUACGGGGGGCAGCAGUAGGGAAUAUUGCACAAUGGGGGAAACCCUGAUGCAGCAACGCCACGUGUGGGAAGAAGCAUUUCGGUGUGUAAACCACUGUCGUGAGGGAAUAAGGCUAUUUUUCGGAGUAGUUGAAUGUACCUCGAGAGGAAGCACCGGCAAACUUCGUGCCAGCAGCCGCGGUAAUACGAGGGGUGCAAGCGUUGUUCGGAAUCACUGGGCGUAAAGGGAGCGCAGGCGGAAGCUCAAGCGGAUUGUACAAUACCGGGGCCCAACCCCGGACCUGCAGUCCGAACUGGGUUUCUUGGAUAGUUCAGGGGCAGGC